AACGAACGCUGGCGGCAUGCCUAACACAUGCAAGUCGAACGAGAUCUUCGGGUCUAGUGGCGCACGGGUGCGUGACGCGUGGGAAUCUGCCCUUUGGUUCGGAAUAACAGUUGGAAACGACUGCUAAUACCGGAUGAUGACGAAAGUCCAAAGAUUUAUCGCCAGAGGAUGAGCCCGCGUAGGAUUAGCUAGUUGGUGUGGUAAAGGCGCACCAAGGCGACGAUCCUUAGCUGGUCUGAGAGGAUGAUCAGCCACACUGGGACUGAGACACGGCCCAGACUCCUACGGGAGGCAGCAGUGGGGAAUAUUGGACAAUGGGCGAAAGCCUGAUCCAGCAAUGCCGCGUGAGUGAUGAAGGCCUUAGGGUUGUAAAGCUCUUAUACCCGGGAUGAUAACGACAGUACCGGGAGAAUAAGCUCCGGCUAACUCCGUGCCAGCCGCCGCCGUAA
rnacentral:rRNA from 1 species